rnacentral:rRNA from 1 species
AAGCCCCGGCUAACUUCGUGCCAGCAGCCGCGGUAAUACGAAGGGUGCAAGCGUUGUUCGGAAUCACUGGGCGUAAAGAAUGCGUAGGCGGCUUAACAAGUCGGGAGUGAAAGCCCAGGGCUCAACCCUGGAACUGCUCUCGAAACUGUUUUGCUAGAGUCCCGGAGGGGUUAGCGGAAUUCCGAGUGUAGAGGUGAAAUUCGCAGAUAUUCGGAGGAACACCAGUGGCGAAGGCGGCUAACUGGACGGGAACUGACGCUGAGGCAUGAAAGUGUGGGGAUCAAACAGGAUUAGAUACCCUGGUAGUCCACACCGUAAACGAUGUGUGCUAGUUGUCGGGCAGCUUUGCUGUUCGGUGACGGAGCUAACGUUUUAAGCACACCGCCUGGGAAGUACGGCCGCAAGGUUAAAACUCAAAGGAAUUGACGGGGACCCGCACAAGCAGUGGAACAUGUCCUUUAAUUCGAAGCAACGCGCAGAACCUUACC